rnacentral:lncRNA from 1 species
UUUUCCUAUAUCUUGUAUUGUUCUGUUUAAUGAUAAAUCCUUACAGAAUCUUGGUGUCAAAAGCUAGUUAUCCUCACUGCAGUUUAAGCAUGAAAUUCCUAGCUGGAAACUUUGUAGCCUUGCAUCCUGUCCUUCAUCAAUGAUACCUGAGAGUUAAUUGUUGUGCGUUAAGAAACUCAUUUGCAAGCUGGUCUGCAAUUGAGGGAUACAGUUCCCUGUUCAGAGAAUUUGAUAUCUGAUUUUGUGACUUGUGUCACAAAACUGAAAAAAACAAUCUGUAAUGAAGGUUUUAUGUUUGGUUACCACCCUUUUAGACUGUUACAGAACUAGAAAACACCUUUGAGUUACAGUGAAACUAUUGCUAGGGUUGCAACCAUGGUUGCGAUGGGCCCCAGCAGCCCCUUCCCUGAUCAGCCACACCUGGGAUGCCCCAGCAUCCUCUGCCCAUGGCCAGAGCCCUAUUUAAGUUUAGCCCCAGAAAGGUGCUAUUGUUUGCUGCAAGUUCUGUAGGACUGAUGGGAACACAGCUUGCAUUGCAACUGCCCUUGGGUCCCAGUGCCAAUCCUAUCUUCCCUGACAGACACUUGUGCAAGGCUGAGAGACAGCAAAGUGCGUGGAGAAGGGCAUCAAGCAUAGUUCAAAUAAGAAGGGCCCUGCAAGACAAGAAUUUCUAUGCCAGCAGGCAGAUGGGCUUCCAAACUGAGCAACUUCAAGUGCUGGUCAGCGUACUCUACUUCAUGAAGCAUGCCAUGGAGUUCUGGCCUUUGACACAGCAUCAAUGCCAGCUGUAAUGUAUAGCACUUGAGAAUGAUACCAAGUAGGAGGGAAGAUUCACUCAG